rfam:Bacillus cereus ATCC 14579, complete genome.
GUCUAUCUUCGGGGCAGGGUGAAAAUCCCGACCGGCGGUGAUGAACUAUUUAUGAUUUUGUUCUAAGCCCGCGAGCCGUUAAGGCAGGAUUUGGUGUGAUUCCAAAGCCGACAGUAUAGUCUGGAUGGGAGAAGAUGGAG